rnacentral:rRNA from 1 species
AUGAAGGAGUUGCUACGCACAACCAAUGGCUCGAGCGCACCGCACCACGUGAAGAAAAAAAACCACCGCAACGCGACCGCGCGUGAGAAAAAACAGCGAGGGUCAGGCGAGCGCACCGCACCACGCGAGGGAAAAGACCACCGCUCCGCCCGUCCGCUUUCUCCUUCAUCCCCGUUCCCUCCUCUCCAACCGCCCGUCCUCCUCGAGCCCCGCCCCGCGUCCCUCCUCCUCCUCCCUGCUCGCUCACAUCGCGGGCGGCGCCACCUCCUCGCUAGGCCCAUCUCUGCCCACCCUCUCUUCCUCGCGAUUCGGAGCAGAAGGACGGAUGCGGCCACCCAGGCGUCGGCGCCGGCGCCGGCGCGGGAUUAUAGAGGAGAGGGGACAUCGAUGGCCAGGCAAGGAAGGACGAGGGGGAAUCUGGUGGAGGUGAUGAGGGAGCUGCUAAGGUGGGGCAGGAGAGGACGGCUCGCCGACAAGCUCGAGUUGGAGGCGAGGGCGAGAGGCGGUGUCGCGGUGAUAUGCAGGGGUGAGGGAGAUGGAGGCGGUGACCCGCAGCUCCUAUUGAAGGGGCGGAGAAGAGGGGGUACUCGUGUGAGCGGAGAAGAGGGGGUACUCGUGUGGAAGAAAUCGGGAGGAAGCGUUGGCAGUGACAGGUCGUGGAUCAUCUGUGCUUGUGCAGAUUUUAUUUCUGUACGCCUACAAGGUGUUCGACGAAAAUCCCAGAAGGCUGGCAGGGGAAGAAUGAUCUAUUCAAGUAAUUCUAAUAGGAAGACUGUUGGUUCAACUGAAGAUGCGGAGUCAGUGUGUGGACAGCUUGUUGGUAGAGUCCAUAAAAAAAUUCCAACCAGUCAUAACCGCCCUGCCUCGCUUCCGACGGUGCUGCUGGUUGCUCAGUGUUGGUGCGGGAUCGUUCGGUUCAUUGUUCAUUGUUCCGCUGGCUGCUCAGGUUUGCCAACAACAUCAGUUUGUUGUUUUCUCCCAGAGGUGGAUUAUUUCUGCGGGGUUGAGCUCCUCCAUGACCCGAUUUCUUACCUUGCUGGUUGUGUCAUAUGGCAGUCGGCAUUUGCUUGA